UGAGCAGAUGCAUAGCUUUUGCUGCAUGGGUUAAUUCAGAAGUAUAAAUUUGUCCCUGGCAAAUGCAUACAUCUCAUGCUAGCCUCACGAAUCUGGAAUAAGCCUUCGAAAAGAAAUUGUCCUUGAAGCUAGUAUCUGAUAUCAGCACUGGAUCAUAGAACUUGUUGCUGAUUUUGACCUUGUAUUCAAGUUAACUGUUCCCCUUGGUAUUUGUUUAAUACCCUGUACAUAUCUUUGAUUUCAACCCUUAGUACAUGUGGCUUGGUCACUUCGUGGCUGAGGUAAGAACAUGCUUGCGGAAGACAAGUCUGUGGCUUGGUGAGUCUGUGUGGGCAAAACCCCUU
rnacentral:lncRNA from 1 species